rnacentral:rRNA from 1 species
UACGUAGGUGGCAAGCGUUGUCCGGAUUUACUGGGCGUAAAGAGCGCGCAGGCGGCCAAGUCAGUCGAACGUGAAAUCCCCCGGCUCAACUGGGGAAAGACAUUCGAUACUGCAUGGCUUGAAGAUAGGAGAGGGAAGCGGAAUUUCAGGUGUAGUGGUGAAAUGCGUAGAUAUCCGAAGGAACACCAGUGGCGAAGGCGGCUUUCUGGCCUAUUCUUGACGCUGAGGCGCGAAAGCUAGGGGAGCGAACGGG